GACGAACCGAGCGAACGUUGUUCAGAAUUACUGGGCGUAAAGGGCUCGUAGGCGGCCAACUAAGUCACACGUGAAAUCCCCAGGCUUAACCUGGGAACUGCGUGUGAUACUGGAUGGCUUGAAUUCGGGAGAGGGAUGCAGAAUUCCAGGUGUAGCGGUGAAAUGCGUAGAUAUCUGGAGGAAUACCGGUGGCGAAGGCGGCAUCCUGGACCGACAUUGACGCUGAGGAGCGAAAGCUAGGGGAGCAAACGGG
rnacentral:rRNA from 1 species